GACGAACGCUGGCGGCGUGCUUAACACAUGCAAGUCGAACGGAAAGGCCCUGCUUUUGUGGGGUGCUCGAGUGGCGAACGGGUGAGUAACACGUGAGUAACCUGCCCUUGACUUUGGGAUAACUUCAGGAAACUGGGGCUAAUACCGGAUAGGAGCUCCUGCUGCAUGGUGGGGGUUGGAAAGUUUCGGCGGUUGGGGAUGGACUCGCGGCUUAUCAGCUUGUUGGUGGGGUAGUGGCUUACCAAGGCUUUGACGGGUAGCCGGCCUGAGAGGGUGACCGGCCACAUUGGGACUGAGAUACGGCCCAGACUCCUACGGGAGGCAGCAGUGGGGAAUAUUGCACAAUGGGCGGAAGCCUGAUGCAGCAACGCCGCGUGCGGGAUGACGGCCUUCGGGUUGUAAACCGCUUUCGCCUGCGACGAAGCGUGAGUGACGGUAAUGGGUAGAGAAGCACCGGCUAACUACGUG
rnacentral:rRNA from 1 species